rnacentral:rRNA from 1 species
CCCUUAGAUGUCCUGGGCCGCACGCGUGCUACACUGACGCCUACAGCGAGUACUUCCCAGCCCCGAGAGGUGGCUGGUAAUCAGCAAUGGGCGUCGUGAUGGGGAUAGAUCUUUGGAAUUAUGGAUCUUGAACGAGGAAUGCCUAGUAAGCGCAGGUCAUUAGCCUGCGCUGAUUAAGUCCCUGCCCUUUGUACACACCGCCCGUCGCUCCUACCGAUUUCGAGUGGUCCGGUGAAUCUUUCGGACUGCGCGCGGCCUCGUGCCGUGUCGCGGAAAGUCAGGUAAACCUUAUCACUUAGAGGAAGGAGAAGUCGUAACA